rnacentral:rRNA from 1 species
UGCAUGUUUAAGUAUAAGCAAUUAUACGGCGAGACUGCGAAUGGCUCAUUACACAAGUUAUCGUUCAUUUGAUAGCACCUUACUACUUGGAUAACCGUGGUAAUUCUAGAGCUAAUACAUGCUAAAAAUCCCGACUCCGGAAGGGAUGUAUUUAUUAGAUUAAAAACCAAUGCCCCCCCGGGCUCUCUGGUGAUUCAUGAUAACUGCGGCGAAUCGCAGGGCCUUGCGCCGGCGAUGGCUCAUUUAAAUUUCUUCCCUAUCAACUUUCGAUGUUCGGGUAGUGGCCAAACAUGGUUGCAACGGGUAACGGAGGGUUAGGGCUCGAUCCCGGAGAAGGAGCCUGAGAAACGGCUACUACAUCCAAGGAAGGCAGCAGGCGCGCAAAUUACCCAAUCCCGACGCGGGGAGGUAGUGACAAUAAAUACUGAUACAGGGCUCUUUUGGGUCUUGUAAUCGGAAUGAGUACAAUUUAAAUCCCUUAACGAGGAACAAUUGGAGGGCAAGUCUGGUGGACGUCGCUGGCGCCAGAAAGAGCCACCCUCUGGUAAACAAGUGGCUAGUCGAGUGCUCGUCGCGCGACGGGUGAGCACCGGCGAGACAACCUGGAUCGGGGAAGGCUAAGGGCGCUACGGGCCUACGCUGACCCCGAGCAGAGCCUGCCCGCCAGCGGGCACGGCCUGUGUAGAGCGCGCCAAGGUGUCGGUCCCGGGGGCGGCGCGCGCCGCGCCCCCGGGGCUUAAGGUACGUGCCAACCCCCUGCGAAAGCAGGGCCCUGCAGAGCAGCACCCGUCGUGCGAGGCUGCAGGGGAGCCUUCCGCGCGCAGGGAAGGCGUCGCCACUGGGCGAGCGUCGGGCGCCCCGGGGGGGGCCACGGCGCGGCGCCGGGAUGGCCAGCAGCCGCGGUAAUUCCAGCUCCAAUAGCGUAUAUUAAAGUUGUUGUGGUUAAAAAGCUCGUAGUUGAACCUUGGGCCUGGCUGGCCGGUCCGCCUCACCGCGUGCACUGGUCCGGCCGGGCCUUUCCCUCUGUGGAACCCCAUGCCCUUCACUGGGCGUGGCGGGGAAGCAGGACUUUUACUUUGAAAAAAUUAGAGUGCUCCAGGCAGGCCAAUGCUCGAAUACAUCAGCAUGGAAUAAUGAAAUAGGACGUGCGGUUCUAUUUUGUUGGUUUCUAGGACCGCCGUAAUGAUUAAUAGGGACAGUCGGGGGCAUCAGUAUUCAAUUGUCAGAGGUGAAAUUCUUGGAUUUAUUGAAGACUAACUACUGCGAAAGCAUUUGCCAAGGAUGUUUUCAUUAAUCAGGAACGAAAGUUAGGGGAUCGAAGACGAUCAGAUACCGUCGUAGUCUUAACCAUAAACUAUGCCGACUAGGGAUCGGACGAUGUUAUCACUUGACUCGUUCGGCACCUUGCGAGAAAUCAAAGUGCUUGGGCUCCAGGGGGAGUAUGGUCGCAAGGCUGAAACUUAAAGAAAUUGACGGAAGG